rnacentral:rRNA from 1 species
GAGUUUGAUCGUGGCUCAGGAUGAACGCUGGCGGCGUGCCUAACACAUGCAAGUCGAACGAAGCACUUUAUUACGAUUUCUUCGGAAUGACGAUUUGGUGACUGAGUGGCGGACGGGUGAGUAACGCGUGGAUAACCUGCCCCAUACAGGGGGAGUAACAGUUAGAAAUGACUGCUAAUACCGCAUAAGCGCACAGUAUCGCAUGAUACGGUGUGAAAAACUACCGGUGGUAUGGGAUGGAUCCGCGUCUGAUUAGCCAGUUGGCGGGGUAGAGGCCCACCAAAGCGACGAUCAGUAGCCGACCUGAGAAGGUGACCGGCCACAUUGGGACUGAGACACGGCCCAAACUCCUACGGGAGGCAGCAGUGGGGAAUAUUGCACAAUGGGGGAAACCCUAUGCAGCGACGCCGCGUGAGCGAAGAAGUAUUUCGGUAUGUAAAGCUCUAUCAGC